CUACGGGCGGCUCCAGUGAGGAAUAUUGCACAAUGGGGGGAACCCUGAUGCAGCAACGCCGCGUGGAGGAUGACGCAUUUCGGUGUGUAAACUCCUUUUAUAUGUCAAGAAAAUGACGGUAGCAUAUGAAUAAGCACCGGCUAACUCCGUGCCAGCAGCCGCGGUAAUACGGAGGGUGCAAGCGUUACUCGGAAUCACUGGGCGUAAAGGACGCGUAGGCGGGUUGGAAAGUCAGGUGUGAAAUCCUACAGCUUAACUGUAGAACUGCACUUGAAACUUCUAAUCUAGAGUAUGGGAGGGGGAGAUGGAAUUCGUGGUGUAGGGGUAAAAUCCGUAGAUAUCACUAGGAAUACCUAAAGCGAAGGCGAUCUCCUGGAACAUUACUGACGCUAAGGCGUGAAAGCGUGGGUAGCAAACAGGAUUAGAUACCCGGGUAGUC
rnacentral:rRNA from 1 species